ACCAUCAACACCCUAUUGAACCUUUGUUCAGCAUAAAGCGGCCACGCUAACAUUGGAACGCCUGCACACACCGAUUCUAGCACUGAGUUCCAGCCGCAGUGAGUCACGAACCCACCAACCGAGUCGUGAUUCAACACGGCUAAUUGGGGUGCCCAUGAUUUGACUACCAGUCCCUUCUCUUUGGUCCUCUCCAAGAACGCUGGAGGUAGCAAUGAUUUCAAAUCUGGGUCGAUUUUUGUGUCAAUGUUCGAGCUUUGGUUCUCUAAUGGUGGGUUCCUCACAAUCCAUAAAAAUCUCUGCCCACUCCUCUCUAAUCCAACAGCUAUUUCCUUUAACUGUUGCACUGAAAACGAUCCCAAGCUACCAAAACAAAGAAACACUACGCUUUUACUAGGUUGAGAGUUUAACCAUUUUAUGCACUGAGGAACACCAUCACCGUCCACGGUCGUGUUAACAAUGAGAGGUCCGAUGCAGUAAAGGGGAGGCGUGGGGUAGUCCGGCAAGCAGAGUCCAUCAUUAAUCUCUUUGAAGCUCUUUGGCUCGAGAUAUUCAAAAGUGUCCACAAUAAUCCCAGUUGAACGGCGCAAGUUGGUGGCGAUGUCUAAGAAAAUGUCAUACAGCUUGUUGCCUUUGAACGUUGUCGGCGGCAUAUCUGCAGAUGGAAUCGGUGGCGCACCAGGGAUAUCAAGGAAAACGUUGAGAUGUUGGAAGCUUUGAGUAAAUUUGUUACUGAGGGUGGGCAAAUAAAGUAAGCAAGCAACAGCACCGAGGGCGGAUGGGAGGAAAGAGUAAGCAGGAAGGUUGAGAUCGGAGGCCACUUCGAAUGCUGCGCUGGUGCAGAAGAAGUCAACGAUAAUGGCGUUGAGUGUGUAGUUAUUGGAGAUGGUGAGAAGGGUGCGGCGGACAUCGGGGUUACUGAGGCGGAUGACGUCGAAGAGAAGGGGAUCUAAGCCAGUUGAGGUUAGAAGGAGGUCGACGGUGGGGAGGUAGUGGAAGGUGAUGGAAGGAGGAACGGGGGAGGGGACGGUGGAGGAAGGUUGUGAAGGAAGGGUGGCGAUGAGGAUGUGGAUAGAAAGGGAAGGGUGGUGAGUGAGGAGGAGCUUGGCGAACUCUACCAUGGGUGCCAGGUGAGUAAGCAUAGGUGCUGGGUACAUAACUAUGGCUUCCUCCAUUAGUGAUAGUGAAAAUUGGAGAAUGACACAAUGUAUAUAUAAAUCAUCAAGAAAACAUUUGGUGGAUAUGGGGUUUUUAUUUUUUAAAUGUGCUAUUACUCCUUGUAAGUUCAUAAAAUUUUAGAUUUAGUGCCUCGGUUAAAAAAAUUAAAAAUCAAGUUUUUUAUUUAAAAAUAUUAAUCUAGUCAUUAUAAUCGUACUUAAUUUUUGUCAAUUUUAUCAGCUUAAAAAUUUGAUUAAACUGUUAUGACAUGACAUAUAAUUAACAUAAAAUAAAUAUGUUAAAUUUACAAAUUUUAAUAAAUAAUGAACUAAAAUUUUAAAUUGAAAAAAAAUAAGAGGAUUAAUUUUUUAUCUUUUAAAGUAUAAGGGCCAAAUCUCAAAUUAUAUAAAAGUAACGAGACUAGCAACACAUUUUAACCUCUUCUUUCUGAAGUUACGACCGUAUUAACCCUUCCAUUUUGAAUAGACCGGUUUCUAAUUACACGUUUAACUUUUUAAUUAAUUUUUAAAUAAUGUAUUUUUAAUUCUUAUAAUUGAUUUUUAAUUAAUUCUUCAUAAUUAAAAUAUAUAAUAAUUUAAAUAUAAUUAUUAUUUUUAAAUAUCGUAUUAGUAGAUCAGUAAAGUUUUUAAUAAUAUUAAAAAAAAUUCAAAUUAUAAUUAAAAUAUUUAUACUAUUUUUAGUAUAUAAUAUAAUUUUUACUUCAUGUAAUCAUUAUUUAAACUAAUAGUUAAUAAUUUUUAUUAAAAUAUAUUAAUUAUUUCAAUAAUUCAAAUAUAGCACUAAUAAAAAAUUCUUAUUAUUAAAGCAUUUGUACAAACACUAGAAAAUUGGAAUAUUGUAAAAUAAACUCUUCACCUUUCAAUUUUUCUUUUUAUUUUCUUAAUGGUCAAUAAAUUAAUUAUAAUAAAUUUUAAAUAAUAUAUAAUUAAUAUGUAGCAAAAAAAUAAACAAAAAUUUUUUUUAAAAAUGAUUAUAAUUCUAAAAUAAAUUAUGUCAAAAUUUACUUUAAUUAUAAUUAUUUUAACUAAACCUUUUUAAAUAAUAAAUGUAAAUUACAUGUUAAUUUAAUAAUAUAAUAGAAAAUAAAAAAUAUUUUCAUUAAUUCAAACACUUUUUUUAAAUGGAUGCUUUUAUAUAUAUUAUAAGUAAUUACAUGUACAAACUCAACUGUUAAGUAAACAUAAACUAACUAUUUAUUAUCAGAAUAAAUUUAAUUUAAAAUUUAUAUAUUAUAGAAUAAAACUCGAAUUUAAAAUCUCAAUUUUUCAAUGCCUCGAUGAUUGAACCAUGACUGAAACAUAAUUUAAAAUCUUCACUAAAAUUGAAUUUUUUUAUAUUUAUUUGAUUUGAUUCAUUCAUUGGUUAUUGAGUUGUUGAUAUUGAUUUGAAUUGUUUUGAAUGUUGGCUGCUACUUUAAGGAUCUUACUGAACUGAGAUCGAGUGUACUUGACGGAUCAACUAUAGCACUUCACCCAACCCUUCGUUCAACAUGAGAUUAGUUGCUGGAAUGACAGUCAAUAACCCAAAUUUCAGCUACUUCAGAUACGGAACGACGAGUGUUGUGGUAAACAAGUUGGGCGGCUUUAGGCCCAAGAGCAAGAGUUACAACAAAAAUUAGGGCUCAAUAUUAAUUUCAUUAUAGUUUGUUAUAAUAUUUGUUUUUUUUUUCAUACAAGGUCUAAAUCCUGAUUUUUUUAUUGAAAUAAAUUAAAAAAAUUAUAUAUUAAAAUAGGUUGUCAGCUAGAUUAUUUACUAAAAUAGGUUUUUUUUAUUCGCGUCUAUAUACAGGCGUGACUCUUUUUUUAAAUAUUAAAAUAUAAUUUUUUAAAUAAAAUAUUGUUUUUUUAUUUUUAUUAAAAAUAUUUAAAUUUAUAUAUAUGUAAAAAUACAAUCAACAAGUCAAAAUACGAGUAAAAAAUACACGAGAAUGGGUCGUGCCUGUCAGAUAGGCGCGACUAAUCGUGCCUGACAGGUAGGCGCAAAUGGUACUGUUCCGCAUAUUGCACAAACAGCCCCCCGCGUGCCAGCUGCUGCUACUACUGUAGACUCAUUUCAUAUUUUUUUAUAUCAACUUGGAUAUAAAUUUGUUCAAGUUUAAUCAUAACAGACUCUUUUCAUAAAUUUAUAUACUUUAUAAAAUUAUUUUUAUAAAAAAAUGAUUGUAGAAAUAUUGAAGAAUAUAAAUCAAGUAUUAACAUACCAAUACUUAAUAAUAACUUUAAAAAAAUUAAGAAAUUGAUAAUAAUACAUUAAUAGUAUCGAUUAAAAGCGUUUCUCAAAUCCCAUAAUUAAGAAAUAUUUUGAACAUAGGAGUAGAGUUUUGGCUGUGUGAAAAAAUAUGAGAUAUGAAUAUUUAUAUCUACAAUAACAAGUAGAAUAUGAAUCUUCGAAUUCCAUUUAAUGCACUGUUGAUUCUAAGUAUGAAUUAAGAUAUUGACAAAUACUUUUAUUAAAAUUAUUUAAAAUUUAAUUAAAAAAUUUAACACCCACAGAUAUCAAUGUUGUGUUUAGUUUAGUAUCUGGUGAAUUUAAGAUUAAGUUAUAAAUUAUUUAACACCCACAAAUAUCAAUGUUUCUAGUGUUUUGUAUUUUUUUAAUAUAAUUUUUAUAUAAUGUAAUUUUAUUUGAUUUUUUAUUUUUAUUGACAAUUUUUGCGGUAUAUAUAAGGGAAAAAAUAAGCAACAGACGCUCUUGUGGGCCCCACCAUUUGCGCCUCUGAGAUAGGCACAAUUAAUUGCGCCUCUAAAAAAGGCUCAACUAGUCGCGCCUUUGAGAUAGACGCAACCUGUAUUUGUAUCUAUACACAGGUCAUACUGAUCCGAAAAUAAAAAAUAAUAUUUUAUUUAAUAAAACAAAAAAAUAUAUUUUUAAUAUAAAAAAAAGAAUCGCACCUAUCAAAUAGGCAAGAAUAAAAAAAACGACUCAUUUUAAUAAAUAAUCUAACUGACAAUCUAUUUUGGUAUAUAAUUUUUUUUAAUUUAUUUCAGUAAAAAAUCCGUCUAAACCCACUCAUAGUUUUUCUCCAUCUCUUAAAUAGCAGGAUAAAAUAUUUCAACUUAUUCGAACUCACGACCUCCUAUAAUGACAACAAUACUAACACUAAUCGAAUUAAGAUUCAAUCCACAACAAAAAUAACAACCGGUUCUGUCCGAGUCAUUUCAGCUUCCAUGACUCUAAAAGUUUGACUAGCGCAGUACGAGAGGAACCUCCCUCACUCGUCGCUACCUCGGCUGCACGUUUCAUAUCUAACGUUCGCUGCCUAACUGAGUCACUUUCUUGCGACUCAAUCAACUCUUUGACUCGCUUCUCCACCUCAGUUGAACACACGAACCCCGUUUCCGACUCCACCAUCGGCAAUGCGAUCUUCAUUUCUUCUACCAUCAACACCCUAUUGAGCCUUUGUUCUGCAUGAAGUGGCCAGGCCAACAUUGGAACCCCUGCACACACCGAUUCCAGCACCGAGUUCCAGCCGCAGUGAGUUAUGAAUCCACCAAUCGAGUCGUGAUUCAACACGGCUGUUUGAGGUGCCCAUGAUUUGACUACCAGUCCCCUCUCUUUGGUCCUCUCCAAGAACCCUUGAGGAAGCAAUGAAUUCAAAUCUUGGUCCAAGCUUUGGUCCUCUAAUGGUGGGUUCUUCAGCACCCACAAGAAUCUCUGCCCACUGCUCUCUAAUCCAACAGCUAUUUCUUUUAUUUGUUGCAUUGAGAACGAACCCGAGCUACCAAAACAAAGAAACACUACGCUUUUACUAGGUUGUGAGUCUAGCCACUUUAAGCAAUAAGGAACAUCGCCGCCGUCUGCGGUGGAGUAGGCAAUGGAAGGUCCAAUGCAGUAAAGGGGAGGCGUGGGAUACUCCGGUACGCAGAGUCCAUCGCGAAUAGCCUUGAUGGCCUUUGACUCGAGGCAUUCGAAUGUGUUGACGAUUAUCCCAGUUAAAUGGGGCAAACAAGUGGAGAUGUUUAAGAAAAUUUCAUACCACUCGUUGCGCUUGAGUACCGGCGACGGCAUAUCUGAGGAUGGAAUCGGUGGGACUCCGGGGAUGUCGACAAGAACGUUGAGAUCUUGAAAGUUUUCAGUAAAUCUGUUGUGAAGGGUGGGCAGAUAAAGUAAGGAAGAAAGGGAGCCGGCGGCGAUGGUGCAGAAACAGUAAGCCGGAAUUUUGAGAUCGGAGACUACUUCGAAAGCGAAUCUGGUGCAGAAGUCGAAGAUAACAGCGUUAAGUGUAUAGUUGUUGGAGAUGGUAAGGAGGGCGCGGCGUAAGUUGGGAUUGUUGAGGCGGAUGGCAUCGAAAAGAAGGGAGAGUGGGCUGGUUGAGGAAGGAGGGAGGU
rnacentral:lncRNA from 1 species